UAGUAAUAAUAAAGCACGGUUUGACUCUGUCGGGUUCACCGUCACGGAUCUUUUGUGAAAAAGCCCCUGUGGUUUUUGAUAUUCAGUCUGCACUCCAAAUCAAACCGGUACGAGGGGGAAAAUAACGCAGCCAUGCUCUGCCUCGUAGCGCUCCCCCCGUGCCGCCGGCCGCCUCCUCACUGCGUCGCGCCGCCGCUCCACAAAACUCCCGCCGAACCACACCUCCUAUCCCCUGGCUACUGCCUCCCACCUCUAAAGCUCUCGCCAUGAGCUAUAUCUGGCGCCACCACCCCUCAUCGCCCUCGGCUGGGCUUCCCUCAAUCCCCCACCGCUCCCAAAGCGCCGCCCGCGAUGGAUCUAAGCUGGCAACCGCCCCAGCAUGCCUCCCGGCAGCGGAUCCAGGCCGACAACUACUCCCCUCCUCCCCCGCGACUGAUUGCCUCCACUACCCUCCCUUCCAUCUUAGGGUCUGGAGAGCCCCAGCCGCCACGCUCCCUCUUUCCUCUCCUCUGCGUCAAGAUCGACUGUGAGCUCACUGGUGCCUGCUCUCUGCCGACCUUCCCUUCCCAGCCGCCUCACGACAUGCAGUACGGGGUGGCGAAGCCGUGCAGUUCAUCGUGUCCGUCCCGUCAUGUACCUUCUCGGUGUUGGCCCCCGAUCCCCAUGAGCAUACCCUCCCCUAUUUUCUCUGUGUCACCGACCAUGGCAACCACGAGGCUGGAAGGGGUCUCAUGGACCCGAGAGUGCGAGAGGAGUAACAGCGCUGGCGCUGACGCCUAGGAAGACCGUAGUGUGGUGCUCUGCUGUACCCUGGAAUAUAUGGAAGUGCGGAAACUCCAAGCUCUUCCAGGAUGUUUUUGAGGAAUUGCACAUUACUGCUAGCAAGAUUGCUGAUGAUCUUAUGUUGUAGUCCAACAUGUAUUCAAAUGAAAUUAACAAAGGCAUCCUUAGAGGUUGGAGCACUAUGUUGUAUCACCUAUCUGUAAGAUUGUGAUUUUUUCCCUCCUUUUCUUUUCUAUUAAUCCUACUUUAUCAUUUUCCUUUGUAUAGUUUUCAUUUUAUGAAGUGUUUUAGGCUGUGUAAGCCUGUUGUAGUCCCUAUAAUAAAAAGGUGGAAAGUGAUGCAUCACCCUCUCUUAACUGAAUAGACACCGUGGCGUCGAUGAGACGCUUCGACCCAUGCUGGCCGUUAUUCCCCACCACUGAGAUGAAGAAGAAAUGGUUGGCUUACCAAUCACUUAAGCAUCGAGAGCUUCGGCGCCCAACUGUUGAAGAAGGCUCAGACUGAUGGAGUUGUCCCAAACAAGGCAAAGACCUGACCCCUUUCCGCUGCUGGAG